rfam:Pelodiscus sinensis unplaced genomic scaffold scaffold2737, whole genome shotgun sequence.
CCAAAGGCUCUUUUAAGGGCCACCCACCUUUGCACGGAAAGAGCUU